CUGGCAAGUCACGACAACGGACGCUGCUCCACCCCUCAUAACAGAUUCCACAUGGCGGGCCGCGGUGAUGGCCACGUGUCUGCUCCACCAUCUUCCGUAAUCAAUUCCCCCUGACCAUGGGCGGCCCACUACCAGGCGGUUACAAACGUCGCCAUCAAUCCGUUGCCUCCUCCGCCUAUAAAAGGGAGACCCAGAUACGUUAUUCUUUAAGCUCAUUUUUCUUAUCUCAAAACUGUGCUAAAUUCUCCGUUCGAGCACUCCAUUCUUGUUGAGGCAGAGAACUGACUUGAGCGUCGGAGGAUCUUGCCGGAGCAACCCCACCUCCGGUUUAGACUUCCCUUGCAGG
rnacentral:lncRNA from 1 species